rnacentral:lncRNA from 1 species
CCUACUUGUCUUGGUCUAGUCCAGUCCAUCACACAUCCUGGCUCAGUUCACUUCCUCACUGCUUCUACUCCAGAGCAAGGAGGCGGAUAGAUUCCUAACUAAGAAUGUUUGGAAGACAGUGUGGCCCACUUCACCCUGCCAAGAAACCUGUAACUUCUGGUCACCAGAGCUCUUUGUGUUCAUUCCUUUCCUCCAUAUGGUCUGUGAAGAGGGACUGGAGAAGAGGAGGGAUCAGAAAUUAAAGGUAUCUGUCUUUUACACUUCUUUGUAUAUUUACAAUGUAUAUGAAGAUGACACACUGGCAAAACCAGCUACAUUUCAAGCAUGGCACUGAAGUACCAUGAGUGCCAAAAGAAAACCUAUUGUCAAGCACUAGUGUGAAGUGUGUUGUAAGUGGAUGUCAUGGUCAGUCAUUGUGGAUGUCAUGGGUCAUGUACCCCUCAGUCACACUCCCCAGUUACUGCAAAAAUAACUGGUACCCUCUCUUGCAUUUUUAAAUGAUUUUUUUGUGUUCUAGAAAUGGUUCAUGGGAGAUACUGCCAUGGCUCAGUGCCUUAAAUAGUAGCCAUAAAAAAAAGGACAUGCAAAGAUUGAAUCCUUGGUGGGAGAUAAAAAUCAUGAUCCAUCAAAUUAGA